rnacentral:lncRNA from 1 species
AUGUCGUCUCUGGCCUCAGGCAGGGCCUGUCCCAGCCCCGGAGCACCCACAGCCGUCCCUUGCCCGCCAGCCCUGGGGGAAGGGCAGGGGCCGAGCAGCCGCCCGGGAAUUACACCGCUGGUUCAAAACAUUCCGAAUUCCUGCUCCUUCCGGCCUGGCCGGAAGCCGGGCUGCGGAGGGAUGGGCUGGGCGCCGUGCCCUCGCGUGGCCCCCCAGGCCCGAGGAACACGAGUGUGCCCUCCGCGUGAGCGGGCUCCUGGCAGGCCCUUCUGGGUGAACCUAAACCCCUUUGCCGCCUUCCACAGGAUUCCGUGCUCCUCCGAGGCCAGGAUGCGGAUAUGGGGCCACGCCCUGCUGGUCAGAGGCUGGGCGCUCCCCAAGCCGCGCAGCACCCCCCCCCAGGGCCCCCCAGGCACGCAGGCUAAGAAGCCCGCAAAUGCACGACGGGGGCAGAGCGCGAGCCCGAGGCGCCCCCCAGCACCGGGAGCCCCCCCUCUCCACGUGGGCUCGGCGCCCAGUGAGUCAGGGAGGGAGUGGGUGUCACCAAUCGGGGUGAGUCACCGGGAGGGUGUGCGCCCCUCGAGGGCGGUGCCAGGAGCCUUGGGGGACGGAUCGCGGAGCUGGGGAGUGGGGCUGGGCCCUCCUCAGCAAGGCUCCGCCCCCAGUUGGGGGGCAGGGCAGAUCCCCCCACUUCCUUCCGCGGAGUUGCCUUCUGGGAUCCAGCGAGGCUGGAGCGGCCGCGGAGGGGAGGGUCCUGCGCCCUUCCCCCAGGCCCCGAAGCCGAGGGGGCUUCCCGGCCGGCGCGCGGGGCGGCGGGAGCGCGGCCAGAAACGUGGUUUCGUCUUGAAUAGAAAAAAGAACUGUAAAGCGAUUUGCCCAAUCUCGGGGGCUGACACCGGUGAACAACCAGGCUCUGACGCAGCUGUUCCAGGGGAUUUUGGGGACCGGGUGGCCCUUCCGACUCCUACCCAUUGCCCGCCGUGUUUAUGCAGCUGCGUGUGGACACGGCUCCUCCAGCAGCUCCCCUGCCACAUCCUCCGAGGGGGCUCUGUCCUGCAGCCCCACGUCUGCCUCCAUGCACUCUGGGCAGGACAGAGCCCCGUGGGGCCCAGGCACUGA